rnacentral:rRNA from 1 species
CUACGGGGCGCUGCAGUGGGGAAUAUUGCACAAUGGGCGAAAGCCCGAUGCAGCAACGCCGCGUGGAGGAUGACACAUUUCGGUGCGUAAACUCCUUUUAUAUAAGAAGAUAAUGGCGGUAUUAUAUGAAUAAGCACCGGCUAACUCCGUGCCAGCAGCCGCGGUAAUACGGGGGGUGCAAGCGUUACUCGGAAUCACUGGGCGUAAAGAGCAUGUAGGCUGGAUGACAAGUUGGAAGUGAAAUCCUAUGGCUUAACCAUAGAACUGCUUCCAAAACUGUCUUCCUAGAGCAUGGGAGAGGUAGAUGGAAUUUCUGGUGUAGGGGUAAAAUCCGUAGAGAUCAGAAGGAAUACCGAUUGCGAAGGCGAUCUACUGGAACAUUACUGACGCUCAGAUGCGAAAGCGUGGGGAGCAAACAGGAUUAGAUACCCCUGUAGUC